rnacentral:miRNA from 1 species
AGGGACAUUGACUAGCAAGCUG